ACGCCCGGGCUCACUGGUGAUUCAUGAUAACCCAACGAAUCGCAUGGCCUUGAGCCGGCGAUGGUUCAUUCAAAUUUCUGCCCUAUCACUUUUCGACGGUUGGGUAGUGGCCAACCGUGAGGUCAACGGGUAACGGGGAAUUAGGGUUCGAUUCCGGAGAAGGGGCCUGAGAAAUGGCCACUACAUCCAAGGAAGGCAGCAGGCGCGCAAAUUACCCAAUCCCGACUCGGGGAGGUAGUGACAAUAAAUACUGAUACAGGGCUCUUUCGGGUCUUGUAAUUGGAAUGAGUACAAUUCAAAUCCCUUAACGAGGAACAAUUGGAGGGCAAGUCUGGUGCCAGCAGCCGCGGUAAUUCCAGCUCCAAUAGCGUAUAUUAAAGUUGUUGCAGUUAAAAAGCUCGUAGUUGAACCUUGGGCCAGGCUGGCCGGUCCGCCUAACCGCGUGCACUGGUCUGGCCGGGCCCUUUCCUCUGGGGAGCCGCAUGCCGUUCACUCGGCGUGUCGGGGAACCAGGACUUUUACUUUGAAAAAAUUAGAGUGUUCAAAGCAGGCCUUCGCUCGCAUACAUUAGCAUGGAAUAAUAGAAUAGGACGUGCGGUCCUAUUUUGUUGGUUUCUAGCGCCGCCGUAAUGAUUGAUAGGGACAGUCGGGGGCAUCCGUAUUCAGCCGCGAGAGGUGAAAUUCUUAGACCGGCUGAAGACGAACUACUGCGAAAGCAUUUGCCAAGGAUGUUUUCAUUAAUCAGUGAACGAAAGUUGGGGGAUCGAAGACGAUCAGAUACCGUCGUAGUCUCAACCGUAAACUAUGCCGACU
rnacentral:rRNA from 2 species